rnacentral:SRP_RNA from 1 species
UCGUGCUAGAUGGGGCAGUAGCGGCGCCCUGUAACCUCAAAUCCGCUAUAGGGGGGUUGAUGCUCCGCCCCGGGCAGGGGUGGCGAAGCCUGCCCGUAAUAAGUGAUGUUGACGGCUGGGUCCCGCGCGGCGGGCUGCUGUGAACCUCGUCAGGUCCGGAAGGAAGCAGCGAUAAGCAGAUUUGUCCCGGGUGCCGUGGGAGUGCCUGGCCCGAGUUGGCUGUUACGGUAACGUUCGUUGUGCUUUGUUCAAAGCGGAGUGCACGG